rnacentral:rRNA from 1 species
GGAAUAUUGGUCAAUGGGCGCAAGCCUGAACCAGCCAUCCAGCGUGCAGGAAGAAGGCCCUAUGGGUUGUAAACUGCUUUUGUCAGGGAAUAAACCUCUGGAUUUACUCCGGAGCUGAAGGUACCUGAAGAAUAAGCACCGGCUAACUCCGUGCCAGCAGCCGCGGUAAUACGGAGGGUGCGAGCGUUAUCCGGAAUUACUGGGUUUAAAGGGUGCGUAGGCGGCUCGAUAAGUCAGGAGUGAAAGUUUGCAGCUCAACUGUAAAAUUGCUUUUGAUACUGUCGGGCUAGAAUCAGGCUGAGGUCAGCGGAAUGUGGCAUGUAGCGGUGAAAUGCAUAGAUAUGCCAUAGAACACCUAUUGCGAAGGCAGCUGGCUAGACCUGGAUUGACGCUGAGGCACGAAAGCGUGGGGAGCGAAC